rnacentral:rRNA from 1 species
UACGUAGGGGGCGAGCGUUGUCCGGAGUUACUGGGCGUAAAGCGCUUGUAGGCGGUCCACCAAGUUUGGGGUGACAGUUGCCGACUUAAUCGGCAAAGUGCCUCAAAGACUGGCGGUCUUGAGGGCCACAGAGGGACAUGGAACUCCAGGUGUAGUGGUGAAAUGCGUAGAUAUCUGGAAGAACACCAAAGGCGAAGGCAGUGUCCUGGGUGGUCGCUGACGCUGAGAGGCGAAAGCCAGGGGAGCGAACGGG